GGGCCAUUAGCUCAGCUGGUAGAGCAGGAGACUCUUAAUCUCAAGGUCGUAGGUUCGAGCCCUACAUGGCCCA
rnacentral:tRNA from 1 species